rnacentral:rRNA from 1 species
CCUUGUAGCGGGGGAUAACUAUUGGAAACGAUAGCUAAUACCGCAUAACAAUGGAUGACACAUGUCAUCUAUUUGAAAGGGGCAAUUGCUCCACUACAAGAUGGACCUGCGUUGUAUUAGCUAGUAGGUGAGGUAAUGGCUCACCUAGGCGACGAUACAUAGCCGACCUGAGAGGGUGAUCGGCCACACUGGGACUGAGACACGGCCCAG